CCAGACUCCUACGGGAGGCAGCAGUGAGGAAUAUUGGUCAAUGGGCGGAAGCCUGAACCAGCCAAGUCGCGUGAGGGACUAAGGCCCUGCGGGUCGUAAACCUCUUUUGCCGGGGAGCAGUGGUCCGGACGCGUCCGGACCGGGAGAGUACCCGGAGAAAAAGCAUCGGCUAACUCCGUGCCAGCAGCCGCGGUAAUACGGAGGAUGCGAGCGUUAUCCGGAUUUAUUGGGUUUAAAGGGUGCGUAGGCGGGCAUUUAAGCCGGCGGUCAAAUGUCGGGGCUCAACCCCGGCCUGCCGUCGGAACUGGGUGCCUUGAGUGGGCGAGAAGUAUGCGGAAUGCGUGGUGUAGCGGUGAAAUGCAUAGAGAUCAUACAGAACACCGAUUGCGAAGGCAGCUUACCAAUCUAUAUCUGACGUUGAGGCACGAAAGCGUGGGGAGCAAACAGGAUUAGAUACCCCGGUA
rnacentral:rRNA from 1 species